rnacentral:piRNA from 1 species
UAGCCAUAAUGGAGCCAUGGUUCACAGAUU